CAGAAAGCACUCAAUUCAAAACUCCCAUUUUAAAAAUGAGUACAUUGAGGCCCAAAGAAAAGGGCUAGCCCCAAAUCACACAGUGAGUUAGUGCUGGUACCCAGACCAGAACACAGGUCUCCUGAUUCUUGAUCUUCCCAUGGGAUGGCUUGGAUUUUCUUUGCAAGACAGCUGGAUGUCAAGAAGGCAAAAGAACCAUCUUCCAUGACUCUAAAAGGCUAAGCCUGGAAGACCACAGGGUGGUUUCUGCCAUUUUUAUAUUAGUUACAACAAGUCAUCAGCCAGUAAAGACUCAAGAAAAGAGGAAACUAACUCCACCCUUGACUCACUGAAGCCCUCUAUGUAAAAACAUAUGCCUCUGCCUUGGGAAACCAUGGACACACUUUCAAAUUCUUCAGAUAAUCUGGAGCACACCUAAUCUGGAAAAAAAAAAUGGUUUU